rnacentral:lncRNA from 1 species
UUUAUCUCUUCCUUCGGAGGUAGCUCACCUUUCUCUCGACAAAGAGGACUGAGCAGCCAGCACCACUCACUGUACUCAGCGAGAAUGCCCAAGGUGAUAUGCACUUUCUUCAUAUUUGUAAAAAGCACAAAUGGCAUCAAGAAAGGAUCAAGCUGUUCCUGUAACCAAAGCGAAGAACAAGAACAUCUUCACCAUAAGUGGUGACACUUCAGGCAUCAUAACCCAAAGCAAGGCGAGAGCUCUCUCUAUU